UUGUCCUGAGCAGGUAAAGUACCGCACAGCUUGCGGUUGAGAAUGCCCUUAGGACGGGACUAUACGUCCUGCCAUCACGCCAAGAAUCUUCCUAAAGAAGUAUUGGUAUGAAAUACAGUCACAACAACUGGUAGCUCUUGCAAAGGAGUGAACGUCUGAAGUGACAGUGGUAGAGUCAAGGGUGUGCAGGGCUACAACGC
rnacentral:ncRNA from 1 species